UUCUCUGACAACUUCUUUCAGUCUUUACUCCUGGCCUGUAUUUCUCUCUACAACUUCUCGUGUUCCCCAAGCCACGUCACACAUGGGCCACGUCAUUCCAGGUGGGACAAGGUACCUCCCACAGCACAUGGGUGCUGGGAGUGCCAUGUGUCCUGCAGCCUGGAUCCCUGUUUGCUUAACCCUGUAUGAUGUUUGCUUUUUACACAACACCACGGCCUUUUUGACUCACAUUGAGCCUGCCUGGCACUGUACUCAUCCCUUCCACUCCACACAAUUCCUGUCCAGGAUCUGGCACAUCCAUCUGUGCUGGCAAUUCCACACCUCGACACCCAUCUGCCUGAAGUUGCAAUGGUUGCUGCAAGGCUGGCACUUCUUCAGGCACAGCAGCUGACUCAGGGCCUCUUCUCCAGUCCCUCCUGAAAGGCAUGGAAGCAUGCAAUAUUCUCCAAAUAGUUCCAUAUAACAUAUCCCAUGUGCAGAUGGAGACAUGCAGCUGUCUCAACUCCUUCAAUGGUCUGAAACUCAUGGAACACUUCAGGGAGAAUCUCAUGUCCUAAAAUAAACUACCUUGA